CUGCUGCCUCCCGUAGGAGUCUGGGCCGUGUCUCAGUCCCAAUGUGGCCGUUCAACCUCUCAGUCCGGCUACCGAUCGUCGGCUUGGUGAGCCGUUACCUCACCAACUACCUAAUCGGACGCGAGCCCAUCUUCGAGCGAUAAAAAUCUUUGAUACCAGCAGGAUGUCCUCCCGGUAUGUUAUGCGGUAUUAGCGACCGUUUCCAGCCGUUAUUCCCCUCUCGAAGGCAGGUUGCUCACGUGUUACUCACCCGUCCG
rnacentral:rRNA from 1 species